rnacentral:rRNA from 1 species
AUACGGAGGAUCCGAGCGUUAUCCGGAUUUAUUGGGUUUAAAGGGAGCGUAGGUGGAUUGUUAAGUCAGUUGUGAAAGUUUGCGGCUCAACCGUAAAAUUGCAGUUGAUACUGGUUUCCUUGAGUACGGUACAGGUGGGCGGAAUUCGUGGUGUAGCGGUGAAAUGCUUAGAUAGCACGAAGAACUCCGAUCGCGAAGGCAGCUCACCGGGCCGGAACUGACACUGAUGCUCGAAAGUGCGGGUAUCAAACAGGAUUAGAUACCCUGGUAGUCCGCACAGUAAACGAUGAAUACUCGCUGUUUGCGAUACACUGUAAGCGGCCAAGCGAAAGCGUUAAGUAUUCCACCUGGGGAGUACGCCGGCAACGGUGAAACUCAAAUGAAUUGACGGGG